CCUAAGGGGUCUGUUUCUGUACCCUGUGGGUCCAUGAAAAUUGACCUCAGCAAACUAGAGAUGGCUGCUUUAUGGAGAUAUUGGCGCUACUUCAAUCUUGUAGAUGCCAUUCCCAACCCAUCAAAAGAGCAACUGGUUGAUGUCGUUCAGAGACAUUUCAUGUCGCAGAAAAUAGAUGAGCUGCAGGUAAUUGUGGGAUUCGUUCACGCAUCCAAGAGACUGAAGACUGUUUGUAAAUGACCUGGAGGAGAUUGAUCUGAUUCAGUUGCCCCUAAGUUUGGCUGUCAAAAAAAAGCUGCUAACAGAAACUAGGGGAUCCUAACGUUCUCUUCCCGCUUUAGUGAUAUCUGUAACAUAUAUAUGUAUCUGUGACCUGUUAAGCAUUUAUGGUAUCUCUGUCAAGUAGGCUUUAGUAAUUUGACUAUGUUAUAGGGGUGGUUCCAUCUUGCUAGACAAGUUUAUGUAGAUAUUAAAUCCAAAACUUAGUUAUAAGAACUCAUUGCAGGCUUCCUUUUUAAAGCUUGGUUGAAUCUUCUAUGUACUACUAAUCUUGGGUAUGUGGAUUUCUUGAAAUAAAUGUAUAUAUUUUUGUUU